rnacentral:rRNA from 1 species
GGCAGCAGCCGCGGGAACACCGGCGGCCCGAGUGGUGAUCGUGAUUAUUGGGUCUAAAGGGUCCGUAGCCGGUUUGGUCAGUCCUCCGGGAAAUCUGAUAGCUCAACUAUUAGGCUUUCGGGGGAUACUGCCAGACUUGGAACCGGGAGAGGUAAGAGGUACUACAGGGGUAGGAGUGAAAUCUUGUAAUCCCUGUGGGACCACCUGUGGCGAAGGCGUCUUACCAGAACGGGUUCGACGGUGAGGGACGAAAGCUGGGGGCACGAACCGGAUUAGAUACCCGGGUAGUCCCAGCCGUAAACGAUGCUCGCUAGGUGUCAGGCAUGGCGCGACCGUGUCUGGUGCCGCAGGGAAGCCGUGAAGCGAGCCACCUGGGAAGUACGGCCGCAAGGCUGAAACUUAAAGGAAUUGGCGGGGGAGCACAACAACGGGUGGAGCCCUGCGGUUUAAUUGGACUCAACGCCGGACAACUCACCGGGGGCGACAGCAAUAUGUAGGCCAAGCUGAAGACUUUGCCUGAAUCGCUGAGGAGUGGUGCAUGG